ensembl:lncRNA
UCUAUGCUUCUGGUGUCCAACUCAGGAGUUAUCCAUUUUGUCUGCAAUCAAAAUAAGUCUUAAGUCAGUAAUUUGUGGUCUCCAAACCUGGAAGUGCUGGGGCGAGAGGUGAGAGGAGGGAAGAAGCAAAGCAUUGAGAGUCAGUGUGCCUGCUGUGCAAAGCGCUUGAUUUUUCAGCCCAGCCAGGAGGAUGCAAUCUGCCUUUCAUGAGGUGUCCAGAACAGACAGUGCUUUUGGAGUGCCAUGGAAGAGAUAGAAAACACAGGGACAUUCCUGUUUCUGUCCUGAUGGUGGUGGAUGUCUAGAAGGUGUGAAAAAUGAG